UUUAUACUCCCUCUGUCCCAAAAUAAGUGACUCAACUUUGUAUUAAAGUUAGUACAAAGUUGAGUCACUUAUUUUGGGACGGAGGGAGUAUAUC
rnacentral:pre_miRNA from 1 species